CCGAAGACUAAGAGUCUUCUCAAGGUAU
rnacentral:tRNA from 1 species